AUUGAACGCUGGCGGCAUGCCUUACACAUGCAAGUCGAACGGCAGCACGGGGCAACCUGGUGGCGAGUGGCGAACGGGUGAGUAAUGCAUCGGAACGUACCUUUCAGUGGGGGAUAACGUAGCGAAAGUUACGCUAAUACCGCAUAUUCUGUGAGCAGGAAAGCAGGGGAUCGCAAGACCUUGCGCUGAUUGAGCGGCCGAUGUCAGAUUAGCUAGUUGGUGAGGUAAAGGCUCACCAAGGCGACGAUCUGUAGCGGGUCUGAGAGGAUGAUCCGCCAAACUGGAACUGAGACACGGUCCAGAGUCCUACGGGAGGAAGCAGUGGGGAAUUUUGGACAAUGGGGGCAACCCUGAUCCAGCCAUGCCGCGUGAGUGAAGAAGGCCUUCGGGUUGUAAAGCUCUUUCGGCCGGGAAGAAAUCGCACGGGCUAAUACCCUGUGUGGAUGACGGUACCGGAAUAAGAAGCACCGGCUAACUACGUGCCAGCCGCCACGGUAAUAC
rnacentral:rRNA from 1 species